rnacentral:rRNA from 1 species
CCUACGGGGGGCUGCAGUGGGGAAUAUUGCACAAUGGGCGCAAGCCUGAUGCAGCCAUGCCGCGUGUAUGAAGAAGGCCUUCGGGUUGUAAAGUACUUUCAGCGAGGAGGAAGGCAUUAAGGUUAAUAACCUUAGUGAUUGACGUUACUCGCAGAAGAAGCACCGGCUAACUCCGUGCCAGCAGCCGCGGUAAUCCGGAGGGUGCAAGCGUUAGUCGGAAUUACUGGGCGUACAGGGCGGACAGGCGAUCCCCGGGCUCAACCUGGGAACUGCAUCCGAAACUGGCAGGCUAGAGUCUUGUAGAGGGGGGUAGAAUUCCAGGUGUAGCGGUGAAAUGCGUAGAGAUCUGGAGGAAUACCGGUGGCGAAGGCGGCCCCCUGGACAAAGACUGACGCUCAGGUGCGAAAGCGUGGGGAGCAAACAGGAUUAGAUACCCUAGUAGUC